rnacentral:rRNA from 1 species
GUGCCAGCCGCCGCGGUAAUACGAAGGGGGCUAGCGUUGCUCGGAAUUACUGGGCGUAAAGGGAGCGUAGGCGGACAUUUAAGUCAGGGGUGAAUCCCGGGGCUCAACCUCGGAAUUGCCUUUGAUACUGGGUGUCUUGAGUAUGAGAGAGGUGUGUGGAACUCCGAGUGUAGAGGUGAAAUUCGUAGAUAUUCGGAAGAACACCAGUGGCGAAGGCGACACACUGGCUCAUUACUGACGCUGAGGCUCGAAAGCGUGGGGAGCAAACAGGAU